CAAAAUGUAGCUUAACUAAAGCCCCUUGCUUACACCAAGACCAUGUCUACUCAACCCAGAUCAUUUUGAG
rnacentral:tRNA from 1 species